rnacentral:rRNA from 1 species
GACGAACGCUGGCGGCGUGCUUAACACAUGCAAGUCGAACGAAGAGCGAUGGAAGCUUGCUUCUAUCAAUCUUAGUGGCGAACGGGUGAGUAACGCGUAAUCAGCCUGCCCUUCAGAGGGGGACAACAGUUGGAAACGACUGCUAAUACCGCAUACGACCUAAUCUCGGUAUCGAGGAUAGAUGAAAGGUGGCCUCUACAUGUAAGCCAUCAUUGAAGGAGGGGAUUGCGUCUGAUUAGUUAGUUGGAGUGGAAACGGCCCACCAAGGCGAUGAUCAGUAGCCGGACGGAUAGGAUGAGCAGCCACAUUGAGACUGAGACACGGCCCAGACUCCUACGGGAGGCAGCAAUGGGGAAUCUUCCGCAAUGGACGAAAGUCUGACGAAGCAACGCCGCGUGAGUGAUGACGGCCUUCGGGUUGUAAAGCUCUGUUAAUCGGGACGAAAGGCCUUCUUGCGAAUAGUGAGAAGGAUUGACGGUACCGGAAUAGAAAGCCACGGCUAACUACGUG